UAUAAUGGUGUACACCAUCAUGUAUACUAUUAAAUUAACCAUAAUGGUGUAUACCAUUAAAUGAAAGUAAUGAUUAUACAUUUUUACUUAUGUACACUAACAUUUGUACACUUUUAUGUACACUAAUCUCAUAUUAUUAUUAUUUAAACUUUGUUUUGUAUAUUAUCACUUGACAAAAAUGGUUUUAUCUUUUGAAUAUGAGGUGUACACAAUAGGUGAAGGUGUACGAUAUUAUAUACGGUGUACAAGGUGAUUUAUGGUUUGAUUUAUUAUCUCAUUAUUGCAUGUAUACUAUUAAUAUCAUGUACACCAUAUUUUACAUUUUCGUACACCAUCUUAUUAUGUAGUUAUACAUCAUUGUAUAUUAUCGUUUGUACAUCACUUUGUACACUGUCUAUACCGUAUACCACUUCUUAGAUCAUUAAGAAACAAAAGUUAUUUUUGACUUUAUUUGACUAUAUGACAAAACAACAGAAGGCUAUAAAGGUCAUUCACUAAAAUCUCUAUUAGAUAGAAAAUUGUAUUAGAAAGGAAAGAGAAAAGUGUCUAUUCUCCCUAUUUCUAAAAAAACUACUUACUUUGCAAAUUAUUUGUGAAAAAAGUGUCUAGUUUCCAACUUAUCUCUAUUGUUUUCUGCUACAAUAUUUAAUAAAUCGUACUUUCUCCUAUACCUAAAUCAACACGGCCUUUAUUUGUUAGAGUAUCUCCAUGGGAUAGAUACCCUUGCUAGUUUCUCAACAAAAGAAAAAAUUAUUAUUU
rnacentral:sRNA from 1 species